rnacentral:rRNA from 1 species
UACGUAGGUGGCAAGCGUUGUCCGGAAUUACUGGGUGUAAAGGGCGUGUAGGCGGGAAGGCAAGUCAGAUGUGAAAGCCCAUGGCUUAACUGUGGAACUGCAUCUGAAACUGUUUUUCUUGAGUACUGGAGAGGAAAGUGGAAUUCCUAGUGUAGCGGUGAAAUGCGUAGAGAUUAGGAGGAACACCAGUGGCGAAGGCGGCUUUCUGGACAGUAACUGACGCUGAGGCGCGAAAGCGUGGUGAGCAAACAGGAUUAGAUACCCU